GCCGCUAUGGCGCAAUUGGUAGCGCACCCCACUUGUAAUGGGAAGGUUUCGGGUUCGAGUCCCGAUAGCGGCU
rnacentral:tRNA from 1 species